AAUGGGGGAAACCCUGAUGCAGCGACGCCGCGUGAGCGAUGAAGCCCUUCGGGGUGUAAAGCUCUUUCGGCAGGAACGAUAAUGACGGUACCUGAAGAAGAAGCUGCGGCUAACUACGUGCCAGCAGCCGCGGUAAUACGUAGGCAGCAAGCGUUGUUCGGAGUUACUGGGCGUAAAGAGUGUGUAGGCGGUUUCGUAAGUUUGGUGUGAAAUCUCCCGGCUUAACUGGGAGGGUGCGCCGAAGACUGCGAGGCUCGAGUGCCGGAGAGGUAAGCGGAAUUCCUGGUGUAGCGGUGAAAUGCGUAGAUAUCAGGAGGAACACCGGUGGUGUAGACGGCUUACUGGACGGCCACUGACGCUGAGACACGAAAGCGUGGGUAGCAAA
rnacentral:rRNA from 1 species